rnacentral:misc_RNA from 1 species
AAAAAAAAAAAGUCCUGAUAUUUUGGAGUGUUUAUUCGCUUGAAAUGGAGAAUAUUUGGUGAGAGAAAGGGUGUCAAAGUCCUCUAGAACAGUGCGUUCUUUGUGGUAAUGUGGAGUAUUUGGAUGGAGAAAAAUGCCCAUAUUUUCAAGUGCCAAGUUUGUUUUUGAAUCUAUUAGUGAGAGUAGUUUUCUUGACUUCUCUGUGGGAUUCUAUUUU